GUUAGCUGAGCUGGUUAGAGCACAGUGCUCAAAACACCAAUGUCGUGGGUUCAAUCCCCAUAUGAGCCA